rnacentral:pre_miRNA from 1 species
NNNNCCACCCGGAUCCGUUACGUGCGGAGGUCGGGGUCACUAGAUCCGGUGACCCUGGACUCCUUGCUAGCAGAUGCGGUAGCCUCA